UUGAAUUCUUUCGCUCUUUGGAUUAAAUGCUCUGUGAGUUCCAAGACACAGAAACUUCCUUUGAAUCAUAGGAUGACAAGAUAUUUUAUGUUGGAAAGAGCUGCUGGAGGUCAUUUUGUCAAACCACCUAUUCAAAGAGGCUUACCUUCAGCAUUAGGUAGUGAAAAUUCAUAACUUGUUACUUCUGCCUACUCUUCUUCAGAUAUGGACCUCUAAGGAAAGUUUGUUCCAUCUUCUCUGCAAUCCCCCUGCAGGGCAUGGUCUAUGGACAUUCAAGUGUCAACAUCUUCCAUUUGACACUGACAGACCCUGUUGCUGAAAGGUAAGUACUCGUAUGUCUCCUCCAGUGUAUCCCACAUAAGCACUUAGUGUUUGUUCCAUUGAGUAAUUUUGAACAUUAUUGUUUUUCUGAUGUUGUUCUGCACUCUGCUUUGCAAUUGAACAUGUGAUUGUAUUUCCCUCUAUGACUCAGAAGUGGAAGCCAACAUGUCAGAGCAAUUUUCUGCUGUGUUUGCAGGCAUUUGUUAUGGCACAUCAGUUCAACGUGCCUUCCUCCCUCUGCCUGCACAUUGUGCAUCUGAGGCUCUGUGUACAUUUUCUUGGAGAGCUGCCAUGCUGCAGAGAUUUUGAAAUUGCAUAAUGGACUAUAUGGGCUGGCUUGGAGCUACAGCUGCAGAGACAUCUUCUAGCUUCCAGCAUCUUCCCUUAUUCUCAGAUAGAGUCAAUACACCUUUUCUGAUUCUCUCUCCAAGUCAGUCAGGAUAUACACACAUGCAUUUAACAACUUCUGAAAGUUUCCUUGUCAUAUUCAGGUGAGCUUAUAAGAAACAGUUUUUAAAAAGUAAAAUGUUUACCACAUGUAGAGCUAAUAGCACAU